GGGGCUGUAGCUCAGUGGUAGAGCAUUUGCCUAGCAUGCAUGAGGCACUGGGUUCAAUCCUCAGCACCA
rnacentral:tRNA from 1 species